AGGACCAUGCGAAAUUAAGGUUGAGGAGAUAAUGACUUGAUCAGAAACUGUGGCCGACAACUGCAAACAUGCAGCAAGCAGGAAAACGAGCUGCAAACAGACUCAUGAAGAGGAUGGCCAGAGUUGUCCAUAGCUUUUUUGACUCUUAUGAAGAAUCCUUCUUGGCAUAAUCUCCAGAGGUUCCACAGUCGUCUCCAGAACAGAACCAGAACAAAUCCAGCCUUCUUCAUCAGAUUGUUGAGCCCUUUGAGGUUCCUGGCUCUGAUGCUGCUGGACCAACAGAUGAUAGCAGAAGAGACGACCCUUUCAACAGCAGGCUUGUGGAUCUGUAGCAUCGUGCUGCAAACCUUGAAGGAUAUUAGCUUUCUUGAGAAGUGCAGUCUGCUCUGUCUCUUUAUAGACGACUUCACUGUUGCGUCUCCAGUCCAGUCUGUUGUCAAGGUGACCACUGAGGUAUUCAUAUUCCUGAACCACCUCCACAUCUUCUCCCAUGAUGGAAAUAGGGUUUGAUCCAACCCUGUUUCUUCUGAAAUCAACAACCAUCUCCUUUGUUUUGUUUACAGUCAAUAUUAGAUGAUUGUUCCCACACCAGGCCACAAAGCGCUCCACCAGAUCUCUGUACUCAGCCUCUUGUCUUUCUCUGAUACACAUAACUGCAGAGUCAUCUGAGUAUUUCUGUAGAUGACAGAAGUUGGACUUGUGUUGGAAGUCUGAAGUGUAGAGAGUGAAAAGGAAUGAUGAGAGUACAGAGCCCUGUGGUACUCCUGUGUUACUGACCGCCUGGUUGGACACACAGUCCUUCAGUCUUACAACCUGUGGUCUGUUUGUCAGAUAGUCACAGAUGCAGGCGAUUGUUGAAGCCUCCACCUGCGUCUUCUGGAGUUUCUAACAGAGCAAAUCAGGCCUGCCUGCUUUGUCCAGAUGACUGUGGGUUUGUUGAAGCAGGUGUCUGAUGGCAUCAUCAACUCCAACUCCACAGCGAUGAGCAAACUGCAGGGGGUCCUGAUAUGAGCUGCUUUCAUCUGCUUUCUCAAGUGGGCCUCCAGGAGUCUCUCCAGGACCUUCAUGAUGUGGGAUGUCAGGGCAACCGGUCUAUAGUCGUUGAUGACUGAAGGGUGAUUUUUCUUUGGUACCAGAACCUGGCAGGAUGUCUUCCACAACAACAGAACCUCCGCUUGGGUCAGGCUAAGGUUGAAGAGAUGCUGCCGAAUCCCACAGAGGCACUCUGGGACUGACACCAUCUGGACCUGCAGCCUUGUUCCGGUUCAGCCUCUCCAGCUUCCUCUUCACUUCUAGAUACAGAAAAGCUGGAGGUGGAGGCAAAGGGAGCAGCAGCGUUUCCUAAUGUGGUUGAAGAUUGAAGACAAACUUGUGGAAGCAGA